rnacentral:sRNA from 1 species
UAGAAUCAUUUCUGUGCAAUAACUGCAAG